GAUCCUGGCUUAGGAUGAACGCUGGCGGCGUGCUUAAUACAUGCAAGUCGAACGAAGCACUUUGACAGAUCCCCUCGGGGUGAAGAUGAUUGUGACUUAGUGGCGGACGGGUGAGUAACGCGUGGGGAACCUGCCUCGUGCUGGGGGAUAACAGUUAGAAAUGACUGCUAAUACCGCAUAAGCGCACAGUAAGGCAUCUUACAGUGUGAAAAAGAUUUAUCGGCAUGAGAUGGACCCGCGUCUGAUUAGGUAGUUGGCGGGGUAACGGCCCACCAAGCCCGCGAUCAGUAGCCGACUUGAGAGAGUGAUCGGCCACAUUGGGACUGAGACACGGCCCAGACUCCUACGGGAGGCAGCAGUAGGGAAUAUUGCACAAUGGGGGAAACCCUGAAUGCAGCGACGCCGCGUGAGUGAUGAAGUAUUUCGGUACGUAAAACUCUAUCAGCAGGGUAAGGUAAUGACGGUACCUGACUAAGAAGCCCCGGCUAACUACGUGCCAGCCGCAGC
rnacentral:rRNA from 1 species